CCUACGGGGGGCUGCAGUGGGGAAUCUUCCGCAAUGGACGAAAGUCUGACGGAGCAACGCCGCGUGAGUGAAGAAGGUUUUCGGAUCGUAAAGCUCUGUCUUUUGGGACGAAUGUGCGCUAUGUAAAUAAUGUAGUGUAAUGACGGUACCGAAGGAGGAAGCCACGGCUAACUACGUGCCAGCAGCCGCGGUAAUACGUAGGUGGCAAGCGUUGUCCGGAAUUAUUGGGCGUAAAGCGCGCGCAGGCGGAAUAAUAAGUCUGUCGUGAAAGUGCGGGGCUCAACCCCGUGAUUGCAAUGGAAACUGUUAUUCUUGAGUGCAGGAGAGGAAAGUGGAAUUCCUAGUGUAGCGGUGAAAUGCGUAGAUAUUAGGAGGAACACCAGUGGCGAAGGCGACUUUCUGGACUGUGUCUGACGCUGAGGCGCGAAAGCCAGGGUAGCGAACGGGAUUAGAUACCCCUGUAGUC
rnacentral:rRNA from 1 species